AAACCAAUAAUGCAAGAUCAACAGUAAAAUAGCAUAUUUAUAAUGGUGAUCAUGUACAUGGAUUCUUACCUUUACCGAUGACUGAUCAAGCACAGAAAUCAAUGUUCUUCUUUGAUUUAUGAAUUUCACAAACAAGAUGUUCCACUCGACAUCUUAUGCAGACAAUCAUAUCUCUUCAUGAUCCUGAUCAAAUAUAAAAAUCAUAUAUGGAGAAAAUUACCGAUAAUCGAUCCUAAUAACACAAAUCGAGAAUCUCUCUUAGGAUUAAUCAAAAUUAAGAUUUAUCUAAGUAUCU
rnacentral:lncRNA from 1 species